rnacentral:lncRNA from 1 species
UAAAAGAGGGACGAAAGAUACCAAAGGGACAGUCAAACUCAUAAAUCUAAAACAAACUGACAAUGCCAUGGCUAAAAAUGAAAAAGACAAACAGAAAAACAAUAGUACACACGACACAACAUAGAAAACUAAAGAAUAAACAACACGAACCCCACCAAAAACUAGGGGUGAUCUCAGGUGCUCCGGGAGGGUAAGCAGAUCCUGCUCCACAUGUGGCACCCGUCGUGUUGCUUAUGUGAUUACAAAUCCGGUAAAUAGUCUAAUUCGGUAGGUCAUAUUCAUGAAAGGGAAGGGG